UGGGGAAUAUUGGACAAUGGGGGGCAACCCUGAUCCAGCAAUGCCGCGUGUGUGAAGAAGGUCUUCGGAUUGUAAAGCACUUUCGACGGGGACGAUGAUGACGGUACCCGUAGAAGAAGCCCCGGCUAACUUCGUGCCAGCAGCCGCGGUAAUACGAAGGGGGCUAGCGUUGCUCGGAAUGACUGGGCGUAAAGGGCGUGUAGGCGGUUUACACAGUCAGAUGUGAAAUCCCCGGGCUUAACCUGGGAGCUGCAUUUGAUACGUGUAGACUAGAGUGUGAGAGAGGGUUUGUGGAAUUCCCAGUGUAGAGGUGAAAUUC
rnacentral:rRNA from 1 species